GAUGAACGCUAGCGAUAGGCUUAACACAUGCAAGUCGAGGGGCAGCAUGGUCUUAGCUUGCUAAGGCCGAUGGCGACCGGCGCACGGGUGAGUAACACGUAUCCAACCUGCCGUCUACUCUUGGACAGCCUUCUGAAAGGAAGAUUAAUACAAGAUGGCAUCAUGAGUCCACAUGUUCACAUGAUUAAAGGUAUUCCGGUAGACGAUGGGGAUGCGUUCCAUUAGAUAGUAGGCGGGGUAACGGCCCACCUAGUCUUCGAUGGAUAGGGGAGCUGAGAGGCUGACCCCCCACACUGGGACUGAGACACGGCCCAG
rnacentral:rRNA from 1 species